AGAGUUUGAUCAUGGCUCAGAAUCAACGCUGGCGGCGUGCCUAACACAUGCAAGUCGAACGCGAAAGGGGCUUCGGCCCUGAUUAGAGUGGCGAACGGGUGAGUAACACGUGGGUGACCUACCUUCGAAUGGGGGAUAACGUCCCGAAAGGGACGCUAAUACCGCAUAACAUCCUGCUUUUGAACAGGUGGAGAUCAAAGCCGGGGAUCGCAAGACCUGGCGUUUGAAGAGGGGCCCGCGUCUGAUUAGCUAGUUGGUGAGGUAACGGCCCACCAAGGCGACGAUCAGUAUCCGGCCUGAGAGGGCGGACGGACACACUGGGACUGAGACACGGCCCAGACUCCUACGGGAGGCAGCAGUGGGGAAUUGUUCGCAAUGGGCGCAAGCCUGACGACGCAACGCCGCGUGGAGGAUGAAGGUCUUCGGAUUGUAAACUCCUGUUGCUCGGGACGAAAAGCUUCGACCUAACACGUCGAAGUCUGACGGUACCGGGUGAGGAAGCCCCGGCUAACUCUGUGCCAGCAGCGGCGGUAAUUC
rnacentral:rRNA from 1 species